UACAGAGGUCCCGAGCGUUGUUCGGAUUCACUGGGCGUAAAGGGUGCGUAGGUGGCAUGGUAAGUUUGAUGUGAAAGCUCAGGGCUCAACCCUGAAAUGGCAUUGAAUACUACUGUGCUGGAGGUUUGGAGGGGGGACUGGAAUUCUUGGUGUAGCAGUGAAAUGCGUAGAUAUCAAGAGGAACACCAGUGGCGAAGGCGAGUCCCUGGACAACACCUGACACUGAGGCACGAAAGCUAGGGGAGCAAACGGGAUUAGAAACCCGUAG
rnacentral:rRNA from 1 species